rnacentral:rRNA from 1 species
CCUUCCGAAAGAAAGAUUAAUAUCCGAUAGCAUAUAUUUCCCGCAUGGGUUUUAUAUUAAAGAAAUUCGGUAUGAGAUGGGGAUGCGUUCCAUUAGUUUGUUGGCAGGGUAACGGCCCACCAAGACUACGAUGGAUAGGGGUUCUGAGAGGAAGGUCCCCCACAUUGGAACUGAGACACGGUCCAAACUCCUACGGGAGGCAGCAGUGAGGAAUAUUGGUCAAUGGACGCGAGUCUGAACCAGCCAAGUAGCGUGAAGGAUGACUGCCCUAUGGGUUGUAAACUUCUUUUAUAUGGGAAUAAAGUGGUCCACGUGUGGAUUUUUGUAUGUACCAUAUGAAUAAGGAUCGGCUAACUCCGUGCCAGCAGCCGCGGUAAUACGGAGGAUCCGAGCGUUAUCCGGAUUUAUUGGGUUUAAAGGGAGCGUAGGCGGAUUGUUAAGUCAGUUGUGAAAGUUUGCGGCUCAACCGUAAAAUUGCAGUUGAUACUGGCAGUCUUGAGUGCAGUAGAGGUGGGCGGAAUUCGUGGUGUAGCGGUGAAAUGCUUAGAUAUCACGAAGAACUCCGAUUGCGAAGGCAGCUCACUGGAGUGUAACUGACGCUGAUGCUCGAAAUGUGGGUAUCAAACAGG